UGGAAGUUCUGUUAAGCCCAACUGUCCCCUCUGUUGGUGUUCGCUGCCCAGAGAAGAGGCUAAAACUUUGGCUCUUGGGAAUUCCUUGAAUCAGAGCGACAGUUUUGGAAAGAAGAGAAAGUUGGAAGUUUUGGGAAGAGCUGUGAAAGGAAGAUCAACAGUUAGAGGAAGAAAUCUGGGUUUUGUUCCUCUGUGGUCAGAGUGGAGCAGACUAGCCUAGGCCUUCCAGGCCAGAAGCCACUAGGCCGAAACACCCUGACUGACUGGAAGUUGGAGAAUUGAACUGAACAACUACAAGGAGGCAGUAACUUAUAAUAUAUAAAAAUGCUGAAGAAAUUUGAAAGAUCUUAUAACUUGCCUGUGAUUUUAAAUGGUUACAAAGAUAGAUCAUGUUUAAUAAGGAGCUGAAUUCAAAGACCAGGGGCUCCAAACUCCGCAUCACAUUCUGUCUACAAUUUUAACUACAAAUAUGUACCGACAACAUAGGACCAUUGGCAGAUGGAAGGCAGGUGAUAUCCCAUGGAGAAUAUUCUGUUGCUUAUCAAUGACAAUAUUAUUCUAUGUUAAAUUACAAUAAAAUUUUGAGGAAUUUCCAA